rnacentral:lncRNA from 1 species
GUUUCUGAAUCAAAAAAAAAUCGAAUAUUAUCAGUGAUAUUUUACAAUCCCCAGUGUUCACAGUUUCAAUACAAGCUGAGAAGAUAACAGUGUGAUUGAUGUCCUCGUAAGGCUAAAGGCUGACGUCACCGUCGUUCAAGAAGUGCGAUGGACAGGACAGGGACAGAGAAGAGUAGAUCAGCUGUCGGCAAAUUCAGUCUCCAUGACGAAACGUACCCAAAUGGGUUAAGGCUGAUCGACUUCAACGGAGCCCGAAAUAUAAUUGUCUGUAGUGCUAGAUCUCAGCACCAGAAAAUUCAUCUAGCUACGUACGUUCCGAUGACAAAACAUCAACUCGACUUGAAUUACUGAUAUGGGACGACCAACAAAAAUAGGAAAAGGCCGAAAUGUAAAUCAGAGAGGUGAUUAAGGGACUGAUACUCCAGCCUGCUAAAUGGCAGGGAAAAUGGAACCCCAAGAGAAGACGAACCCGUUUACCUAAUGACGCAGCUCGAACACCAGUCAUUUACUCGAAAAACAACAACAGAGCGGCGGAGCCGAUGAUCGGCACACAUCACCUCUUCGCCGAUGCUGAAAGAACCAACGGCAGCAUUGUCUCUAAGCCACUAUGUCCGAAUUUGUUAUCCCCCGCAAAACUUAUAGGCUGCUCUCUGCCUAAUAAGCAACCAAGCGAUACGAAGUUAAAAUUCUUUCUCCCUGAGUAAAUACCGAUGUAUUUACACAGGAAUAACAUAUGUAUGUGCAUACGAGUAUGUCUGUCUGCUUUCGAAGAGACAGCUUAUUGUUAUGCCAAACAAUGCUGCAGGAAAAGCUGAUUUCUCAUUCCUUCACUCUCACAUACAUUGCGUAUGGGGACUAAUAGAUACAUAAAACUUGUCCUUUCAAAAAAAGGAUAUUUUAUAACAACGUUUGUUUCACGCACACACAAACCUAACCAAAUCAAUUGAAUUGGGAAGAUGUGUAUGGAUAUGUAUGUCGGCAGUUGGAAAUUCAUCAUCUGCAGGAAAAAUGUAUUCACUAAAAUUUGAAGCUCCGAAUACAAGCGCCAUGCCUAUUAAUAAAUAACUGCGUUUGUAUGCACACAAAUGACUAAAACUUUGGCUCGAAGCCCGUGGUGGGAUAAGCUUGUGGGACUGCAGUACUGUAACAGCGUUACUCAAUAAGGAUGAGAGAAAGAGAGAAACUCUAUGCAGCAUGAAGUUGUAUAACGCCGAGGGCUCUCAAAAACGACUUUGCUAUUUGGUGCAUGCUUCAGGGAACUUAAAGUUAUUUUAAUUUAUGCAUUGUCGCUUAAUAUAUAUAUUUUAGCAUACUUUUAGGCACA